CUCCCUGCCUGUCGAGUCUGCACACGGGUUUCACGCCCUCCCCUGUGUUCUGGCCAGGAGACUUUGCGUUCGGUUGGAAUUGUUACAGAGUUCAGCUGGAGGUUUCCUUCUCCCUGUGGCCUUUUCCCAGUUCCUCUGGCAGCCCUCCUCAAGGACCCCUGUGAGAUAAGUCAGAGGUGACUUUCCUGGGGACCCAGAGAACCCACAAGGCUUUUCCCACUGCUUACUGUAUUUUGCUCGGCUCUCUAAAUUGAAUCAAUUGCAGACAGAGUCUUGCCCUGUUGCCCAGGCUGGAGUAUAGUAGUGCAGUGGUGUGAUCAUAGCUCACUGUAACUUCGACCACCUGGGCUCAAACAAUCCUUCUUCCUCUGCCUCCCAAGUAGCUGGGACUACAGAGCAGGACCCAGGAUGCAAGACCCUAGGCAUCCCCAAGGCCUUCCACUGUCCCCAGGCCUUCCAAAGAGACAGCGGCAGGACCGCACAAUCUACAACUGGAAACAGCAGGAAGUGCUAGAAAAUCACUUUAAGGAGGAACAGUACCCAGACUAUGACACACGACAAGAGCUGGCGGAGAUGCUCAAUCUCAGGGAGUACCAAGUGCAGGUGUGGUUCAAGAAUCGCCGGGCCAAACGCUCUCGGGAGCGGUGGUUCCAGAAGCAGCUCCAGCAGCUCCAGAAGCAUCCUCAGCAGCAGCAUCCUCAGCAGCAGCAUCCCCAGCAGCAGCUCCAGCAGCAGCAGCCCCAGCAGCAGCCCCAGCAGCAGCAGCCCCAGCAGCAGCCACAGCAGCAGCAGCCCCAGCAGCAGCAGCUCCACCAGCAGCCCCAGUAGCAGCUCUAGCAGCAGCAGCAGCAGCCCCAGCAGCAGCAACUCCAGUAGCAGCUCCAGCAGCAGCAGCCCCAGCAGUAGCUCCAGCAGCAGCAGCAGCAGCCCCAGUAGCAGCUCCAGCAGCCCCAGUAGCAGCUCCAGCAGCAGCAGCAGCAGCCCCAGUAGCAGCUCCAGCAGCCCCAGUAGCAGCUCUAGCAGCAGCAGCUCCAGCAGCAGCAGUCCCAGCAGCAGCAGCCCCAGUAGCAGCGGCAGCAGCCCCAGUAGCAGCAACAGCAGCCCCAGUAGUAGCAGCAGCAGCCCCAGUAGCAGCAGCAGCAGCCCCAGCCCCCGUAGCAGCAGCCCCAGCAGCAGCAGCUCCAGCACCAGCAGUCCCAGCAGCAGCAGUCCCAGCAGCAGCAGCCCCAGCAGCAGCUGCCCCAGUGCAGCCCUGGGCAGGAGGCCACAGAGCCCACAGAGCUCGCACUGUGCCCCCUUUCCCUGAAGCUGCGGCCUCUGCCCCCCAUCAGCCUGGCCUCUUGGGAAUUCUCCCACAGGGAGAGGCCCCGUGGGUAUUCUCCCACAAUCUGCAGCCUCCACCAGGCCUUGAGUAGCUUUGGGUGCAGAGCCAGGAGGGCGUUUGGCUGUCCUAGGUCUAGCCCCUGGCCCAAUCCCAGCCCCAUUCCAGGCCCACUCAAAAGCCAAGGCCCAAUCCCAGGUCCAGGCUCAAUCCUAGGCCCUGGCCUGAUUCCAAGCCAGGCUUACUCCCAGGCCCAGGCUUAGUCCUAGCCCCAAUCCCAGGUCCUGGCCCAAUCCCAAACUUAGGAUCCCUCCCAGCCCCAGCCCUAGUCCCCUUGUGACCUCAGAGCACUUAUGCCUCCAAUUUCUUGCCAGACAGUCAUUCCCUGACUUCACAGAGCUCCUCCCACCCCUAGACCAGUUCGAGGAAUCCUUGGUCUCCACCACGACAUCUCAGUACCAAGAGGGGGAUGGCUCUAUGGACAAAAAGACUCGGGCCCCAAGUGAUUAAUGGAUUUAUAGGGGGCCUGUGUCUGCAAAGUCCUGCGGAUACCAGUGGACCUGGAGUGGCUGGUUGGUCUACACUGCUGGUGAAUGCACCACCACCAUUUAACCACCCUGCCGCUGGUGGGCAUUUGCUGUCUUCACUGUGUGGCCAUCACGACUAGCUCUGCUAUGAAUGCACCUGCCCUCAUUUGAGUUGAGCCUGAGCAUUUCGCAGCUGGGAUUGGAGUCGCUGCUCAUGGGGAUGUUUGGCAUUAGUGGAUGCUACUUGAGAGCUUUGUAAAGAGCUUUACUCAGCACUUCUGAUAGUCAGCAUUCUCCCUGACACUUAGGAUUGUGAGACUUUUUAAUGUUUGUGGAUCCAAUGGCUUAUGGCUUCCCUGAUGACUGAGAGGUUGAGAAGUUCUCACAUGUUAAUUGAACCUUAGAAAUCCUCAUAUGUGUCCAUUUGUUUGCCCAUUUUUCUUCAUUUAUUUGAAUGUAUUUUUAUAUUCUCUUGAUAAUUAAAGUGCUGCAAACACCCCCCAAAAAU
ensembl:lncRNA TPRXL tetrapeptide repeat homeobox like (pseudogene)